rnacentral:tRNA from 1 species
GGGCUGGUAGCUCAAUGGUAGAGCAGCAUCCUUUUAAGUUGUUGGUUCUGGGUUCGAAUCCCAGCCAGCCCA